UUGCUUGCAAUCCGCUGACGACCGGCGCACGGGUGAGUAACGCGUAUGCAACCUACCUUUUACAGGGGUAUAGUCAAGAGAAAUUUUGAAUAACACCCCAUACGAUCAUCAUUACACAUGUAAAGAUGAAGAAAACUCCGGUGGUAAAAGAUGGGCAUGCGUCCUAUUAGUUAGUUGGUGAGGUAACGGCUCACCAAGACCGCGAUAGGUAGGGGUCCUGAGAGGGAGAUCCCCCACACUGGUACUGAGACACGGACCGGACUCCUACGGGAGGCAGCAGUGAGGAAUAUUGGACAAUGGAGGCAACUCUGAUCCAGCCAUGCCGCGUGCAGGAUGACGGCCCUAUGGGUUGUAAACUGCUUUUAUGUAGGAAGAAACACUCUCACGUGUGAGAGCUUGACGGUACUACAAGAAUAAGGACCGGCUAACUCCGUGCCAGCAGCCGCGGUAAUACGGAGGGUCCAAGCGUUAUCCGGAAUCAUUGGGUUUAAAGGGUCCGUAGGCGGGCUAUUAAGUC
rnacentral:rRNA from 1 species